CCAAUAGCGUAUAUUAAAGUUGUUGCAGUUAAAAAGCUCGUAGUUGAACUUCAGGCCUGGCUGGACGGUCCGCCUUCCGGGCGAGUACUGUCUGUGGUCGGGUCCUACCUUCUGGCGAAGCGUCAUGGCCUUAACCGGCCGUGGCGGGGAACCAGGACUUUUACUGUGAAAAAAUUAGAGUGUUCAAAGCAGGCAAUUUCGCUUGGAUACAUUAGCAUGGAAUAAUGGAAUAGGACAAUGGUUCUAUUUGUUGGUUUCUAGGACUGUUGUAAUGAUUAAUAGGGAUAGUUGGGGGCAUUAGUAUUCAAUUGUCAGAGGUGAAAUUCUUGGAUUUAUUGAAGACUAACUACUGCGAAAGCAUUUGCCAAGGAUGUUUUCAUUAAUCAAGAACGAAAGUUAGGGGAUCGAAGACGAUCAGAUACCGUCGUAGUCUUAACCAUAAACUAUGCCGACUAGGAAUCGGGCGAUGUUGAAAAAAUGACGCGCUCGGCACCUCAUG
rnacentral:rRNA from 1 species